rnacentral:rRNA from 1 species
GACGAACGCUGGCGGCGUGCUUAACACAUGCAAGUCGAACGGAAAGGCCCUGCUUUUGUGGGGUGCUCGAGUGGCGAACGGGUGUGUAACACGUGAGUAACCUGCCCUUGACUUUGGGAUAACUUCAGGAAACUGGGGCUAAUACCGGAUAGGAGCUCCUGCUGCAUGGUGGGGGUUGGAAAGUUUCGGCGGUUGGGGAUGGACUCGCGGCUUAUCAGCUUGUUGGUGGGGUAGUGGCUUACCAAGGCUUUGACGGGUAGCCGGCCUGAGAGGGUGACCGGCCACAUUGGGACUGAGAUACGGACCAGACUCCUACGGGAGGCAGCAGUGGGGAAUAUUGCACAAUGGGCGGAAGCCUGAUGCAGCAACGCCGCGUGCGGGAUGACGGCCUUCGGGUUGUAAACCGCUUUCGCCUGUGACGAAGCGUGAGUGACGGUAAUGGGUAAAGAAGCACCGGCUAACUACGUG